rnacentral:lncRNA from 1 species
GAUGAUGCUUUCGGGGUUGCAAUUCCCGGGGUCAAUGCCUCCCGGGGUUCCUGGGGUUGUAGAGUACAUUAGGUACUUGAUACGUCUCCAACGUAUCUAUAAUUUUUGAUGGUUCCAUGCUAUUAUCUUGUCAACUUUGGAUGUUUUGUAUGCAUUUUAUAUCUUUAUUGGGACUACCCUAUUAACUUAGUGCCAAGUGCCAGUUCCUCUUUUUUUUUCGUGUUUUUGACCCUUUUCAG